rnacentral:rRNA from 1 species
CUUUAGCCUUCACAUAAUAUUAAAUAUAUCUAUAGGCUUAAAACUCAAUCAAAUAGGGUACAGCCUAUUUGAAUCAGGAUACAGCCUUCAUCAGAGGGUAAUGCUAUAAUUAUGUGACUAAGUAGGCCUAAAAGCAGCCAUCUUUUAAAAAGCGUUAAAGCCUCCCCACAUACAACACUAAUCCCAAACCAAACCCAAAACCUCUUACCUAAACUGAAUGACUCCAUAUCCAUAUGGAAGCCCUUAUGUUAAAACUAGUAACAAGAAUAACUUCUCCAAUAAAUGUAAAUGUAAGCCGAAAUGGACCACCCACCGGCACUUAUCGCUAAUGAGUCCAUAGUAAUAACCCCCCCCCCAGAAAACCCUACUAUAUUCCGCGUUAACCUUACACAAGAACUUUCCUGGAAAGAUUAAAAAAGGAGGAAG